GCUAUAAACGGGAAAAAAUAAGGCAAGUUGAACUCCUAUAGCAUCUAUGCACUGAACUGUAUCUUAGCAUGGUGGAACAGUCUUCUCCUGUAGCAAGUGACAGAAUAUGAAGCAGCUGGUAGCACCAAAAAAAAAAAAAAAAAAAAAAAAAGCAGGAAAAAAUAUAGAAAAAAAAGAAGACGAAGAAAUUAGAAAAGCCUCUUGCAAACACUAGUGAAUCAUUCCCACAGGCUUUAUGCUUGCCCAGCAUGCUUUCUGUGUGCCAAGACCAAGGAAAAUCACACCACUUCAUUAAGGAGAUGUGCUUUCCACCAGGAGAACCCAGUGGUUCUGCAUGAAAACAGAACAAAUAGAUGAAAUACUGGGCCCAGACAGGUCAAUGGCAAAAUUCCCAGCAACUUUAAUGGAGCCAAGAAUUCACUAAGACAAGGGGCUGGGGACCACCUGAGCUUUUCUCCUGCUCCAGAGGUGAAAGUGCCAGAUGUGACUGCAGUCGUAUUGCAGAAGGAAGAGUCUGGCCUAGCACAAGGAACAGUGGUGCCAGGGUUGAGAGGAAUCCUUCUGGAUCAACAUUUUCCAGGUCUGAAUUCCUCUCAUGCCUGGCAUUUAAUCACUGCAUUUGCUGUCUAUCAAACAGUAUAAAA
rnacentral:lncRNA from 1 species